CCUACGGGAGGCAGCAGUCGAGAAUCAUUCACAAUGGGGGAAACCCUGAUGGUGCGACGCCGCGUGGGGGAAUGAAGGUCUUCGGAUUGUAAACCCCUGUCAUGUGGGAGCAAAUUAAAAAGAUAGUACCACAAGAGGAAGAGACGGCUAACUCUGUGCCAGCAGCCGCGGUAAUACAGAGGUGUCAAGCGUUGUUCGGAAUCCCUGGGCGUAAGGCGGGCGUAGGCUGUUUCGUAAGUCGUGUGUGAAAGGCGCGGGCUCAACCCGCGGACGGCACAUGAUACUGCGAGACUAGAGUAAUGGAGGGGGAACCGGAAUUCUCGGUGUAGCAGUGAAAUGCGUAGAUAGCGAGAGGAACACUCGUGGCGAAGGCGGGUUCCUGGACAUUAACUGACGCUGAGGCACGAAGGCCAGGGGAGCGAAAGGGAUUAGAUAUCCGGGUAGUC
rnacentral:rRNA from 1 species